rnacentral:rRNA from 1 species
UACGUAGGGGGCGAGCGUUGUCCGGAAUGAUUGGGCGUAAAGGGCGCGUAGGCGGCCCUGCAAGUCAGUAGUGGAAGUCCAUUUUUCAAGGGUGGAAGUGCUAUUGAAACUGCGGGGCUUGAGUAUGGGAGAGGUCAUCGGAAUUCCCGGUGUAGCGGUGAAAUGCGUAGAGAUCGGGAGGAACACCAGUGGCGAAGGCGGGUGACUGGACCAUAACUGACGCUGAGGCGCGAAAGUGUGGGGAGCAAACAGGAUUAGAUACCCUGGUAGUCCACACGGUAAACGAUGAAUGCCAGGUGCAGGGGGUAUCGACCCCUUCUGUGCCGGAGUUAACACAAUGAGCAUUCCGCCUGGGGAGUACGGUCGCAAGAUUAAA